UGUAGGGCCAUGUGGUGCAGUGUAGAGAUCUUAUACUCUCCGUUCGGUGUAAAUUUCUCCAAUAGCCGAAUGCGUAUUUUCUUAAAAACUGCUCAAUGUGCAUUCAUCCUGUCUUGAGUGCGAAUCAUUGUGUAAGAACACUCUAGUGAUAUGUGUUAAAUAUCAAUAACUAUUUUAAAGCUUAAAAAGCUGUAACUUUUUGUGUUGGAUCUCAGUUUUUGUUGUAUAUACUCUGUGUAUUCCUCACCUGUUGUAACUUCACCGUGGUUCAUGAAGUGAAAUACUCUAGGACCAUGUUUAAAAAUCUACUUUACUUGUCGUAGAUCUUCGAGAUCUAUUGUUUAAAAAUGCUCUACGUGUAUAGGGCCAUAUGCAUGCGCAGAUUUUACAGGUUCCUUGAAACAUGUAAUGUAAUCAGAAUGGUGGCUUCAACGAUUCCACGAUUAUUUUGCGACAUGAAAAUCUCUGAUGUGAAUGUUGUUUCCCUUUGAACCGAUGCGCGUUGCUGUGUCCCUACUGGAAUUAUCAUCUUCGCGCCAGUAGACCAAAUUAUCUGUUUAUAAUAAAUAAACUAAACUUUUUUUUUUCUCAACGGUUGAAUCCUUUACAGCGGUCAGGUAAGGGCCACUAAUUUGAUUAUCUUCACCGUUUGUAUUUAUUUCUUAUUUCAACUGGGUAGCCCAUUUCAGUGGAAUCCACUGGUCUCCCAUGGACCCCAUGGGGCCUAGAGAUCUAAGUAGUGUAGACCUAAAUUAAAUUUCCUUUUUCUAUGAUUGUGUCUUUAUAGUGGUCAGGUAAGGACCAUUAAUAUACGUUUUCCUUCUCUUUAUAACACAGCAACGGUCACAAACCACUGUACAUUGUUGUAACAUAACCUAGCUCCGCUAGGAAUACUUCUUUUCUUUUCAGCAACUUGCAAUUUGAUAAGAAGGACCAGCAAGCUAGAGUGCUCAUGUCAGGAGCUGAUGACACGGAGGAGCCGGAAGCAGGGAGGAGGAACAACGGAUGACUGACGACCCUGCUUGUCGGGCAACCCAUUACUGAUUUCUCAGCAGAGAUGACGGUCUGCAGGAUGAGGUGCCAUUCUGGACGAAGAUACGAUCACUUUUGAAUCCCAAGGAACCGGAAGCAGGGAGGAGGACCGACGGAAGGACCGAUGACCUGCUUGCAGAGCAAGUCUUCACCAAUUCUUGAGGCCAGUCAGUUAGGAGUGAACGACCAUCAUCAGGAGUCAUUGGUCAAUUAUAUGCGAUUCAGUCGCUAUAAACGCAGUCAGAAUCUCCGUGGAGUUGAGGGAUGUUUCCAAGACCUGAAGGAUAGCAGAUUGACUGAGGAUACAUUCACUGCGGAUGAAGUCACUGACAUGCUGGACGGCUUAGAGGCUGUAGUCAGGGGAGAGGUCGAGUCUGAAUUAAUCAACACUGCUCACACUAACGUCCUGCUGCUGCGGCAGCUCUUCCAGCAAGCUGAGAAAUGGCACCUCAAACUGAUAGCUGACAUAUCUGAACUUGAAAACAGAGAGCUCAUAGAAAUGAUCGCAGAUUUUGAGGAAAGCCAAUUCUCUGGAAAAGCUAUGACAGGGAAGCCCACAUUUGAGAUGAAACGUCUUGACCCAAUGGCCGGGGAGGGAGAACAACUCCUGCAUGCUGAGAUAGCGAGGUUGAGUGAGGAAAAUAAGAAGAUGAAGGAGCGCCUCAAGCAAGUUGAAGCCAGGGCCACCGGUGCACUAGAAGAACGUUCUCGCAUGGCGGCUGAUCUACACAGUACUCAGGAUGAGUUGGGCAAUCUCAGAUCACGCAAGCCAGUCAAGGACUCGGGAGAUUUGUCUGAGCUGGAGAAUCAGAUGUCGGCUGUCAAGUCUCAAAUGGAGAAGAAUCUGCAGCUGAGUUCCCAGAAGGCCGAUACUCUUGAAGGUGACUUGGUUCAAACUAAACACAAGCUAUUGGAGAUGCAAGAACAGCUGGAGAUGACUGAGAAGGAAUUGGAGAAGAAGUUUAGUCAGACAGGAGCCUACAAGAACCUCAAGUCCAUGUUGUCAAAGAAGAAUGAUCAGAUCAAAGAACUCCGGUCACGACUAAGAACAUAUGAACCUGAUGACUAGAAACGAUGUAUGACACAGCUCAGAGCAUUGCGUGCUAUUGUUGUAAUCAAAUCCAUCUCAAGUCUUUACAAUCCAUCACAAGUCAAUCACAUGUCCAUCGCAUGUCAUCCUCACAAGCACAUGACUUUGUUAUUGUUCAUCCCCUGUUACUUGUGAUCAGAAUUGUGACGGACUUGUGAUGGCUUGUGAUGACUAUGAUAACUUGUGAUUUCUUGUGAUGGACUCGAAUACAACAAGUCUCCCCUUGACACAGUGUUAUCCGGUUCGUUAGUAAAAACGUCAUACACGUGCGCGCACCACUGAUACUAGCGCCCAUUGGAUAAACACUCCAGUUGCGUUAACUUCCGGUACCAAUGGUUCCAACGCUACUUAAUGGCAGUGGGCGUGGUUUAAACUGCAGUGACGUCUCACAAACGAACCGGAUAGCCAAGUCCUCUCAAGUCCAUCUCAAGUCAUCUUGUGUUGAGUCAAGUCACGAGUUGUUUAAAUGAUCUGUGACAAGAGCCUUCCGUUGUAAUUUUUUAUUCCGUUACUUGUGCUGGACUUGUGAUUGGACUUGUAAUGGUCUCAACUAGAACACAGCUGCCAAUCAGGUUUAACAAUGUCAUUUCAUAGUCUUUUAAAUGGGAAUGUAGAACAUUUGCUUUUGGUGCAAUUUUCAGAAAUAAAUGGAUUUGGAAGAUUAGUAUGUUAUAGCAGCUAUUGUUAAACU